rnacentral:misc_RNA from 1 species
GAUGAAGAACGCAGCGAAAUGCGAUAAGUAAUGUGAAUUGCAGAAUUCAGUGAAUCAUCGAAUCUUUGAACGCACAUUGCGCCCGUCAGUAUUCUGGCGGGCAUGCCUGUUCGAGCGUCAUUACACCCCUCAAGUCCCCUGUGGACUUGGUGUUGGGGAUCGGCGAGGCUGGUUUUCCAGCACAGCCGUCCCUUAAAUUAAUUGGCGGUCUCGCCGUGGCCCUCCUCUGCGCAGUAGUAAAACACUCGCAACAGGAGCCCGGCGUGGUCCACUGCCGUAAAACCCCCCAACUUUUUAUAGUUGACCUCGAAUCAGGUAGGACUACCCGCUGAACUUAAGCAUAUCAAUAAGCGGAGGA